UACGUAGGGGGCAAGCGUUGUUCGGAUUUACUGGGCGUAAAGGGCGCGUAGGCGGCAGAUCAAGUCAGCUGUGAAAUCUCCGAGCUUAACUCGGAACUGUCAGCUGAUACUGUUUUGCUAGAGUGCAGAAGGGGCAACUGGAAUUCUCGGUGUAGCGGUGAAAUGCGUAGAUAUACGGAGGAACACCAGCGGCGAAGGCGGGUAGCUGGGCUGACACUGACGCUGAGGCGCGAAAGCUAGGGGAGCGAACGGG
rnacentral:rRNA from 1 species